rnacentral:rRNA from 1 species
CAGUAGCGUAUAUUAAAGUUGUUGCAGUUAAAAUGCUCGUAGUUGAAGUUCGGAUGCAGCAGAGCUUGGAAACGCUGUUAUGGUGCUUCCGUUGCUUUUGCUUGUCCACAGGGCGUUGCAAGUACGUAUGUGCUUGUGCGUGCAUUUUACUUUGAGAAACAUAGGGUGUUCCACGCAUGUUACGGCAUGAAUAUUCCAGCAUGGGAUAAUCUGGUACGACUUCCAAUCUGCCAUUUUGGUUCGUAGGUUGGAAGUAAUGAUUAAUAGGGACUGUCGGGGGCAUUGGUAUUUGACUGUCAGAGGUGAAAUUCUUAGAUUCGUUGAGGACCAACCACUGCGAAAGCAUUUGUCAAGGAUGUCUCCAUUAA